rnacentral:tRNA from 1 species
GCAGGGCGUGGCUUAGUGGUAGAGCACUCGCCUAGCACAUGUGAGGCACUGGGUUCAAUCCUCAGCACCAUACA